CGUAGGGAGCGAGCGUUGUCCGGAUUUACUGGGUGUAAAGGGCGUGUAGGCGGGAUUGCAAGUCAGAUGUGAAAUUCCGGGGCUCAACCCCGGAACUGCAUUUGAAACUGUAGUUCUUGAGUACUGGAGAGGCAGGCGGAAUUCCUAGUGUAGCGGUGAAAUGCGUAGAUAUUAGGAGGAACACCAGUGGCGAAGGCGGCCUGCUGGACAGCAACUGACGCUGAGGCGCGAAAGCGUGGGAGCAAACAGGAUU
rnacentral:rRNA from 1 species